rnacentral:rRNA from 1 species
AUUGAACGCUGGCGGCAGGCCUAACACAUGCAAGUCGAGCGGGAACUUCGGUUCUAGCGGCGGACGGGUGAGUAAUGCGUAGGAAGCUACCCGACAGAGGGGGAUACCAGUUGGAAACGACUGUUAAUACCGCAUAAUGUCUACGGACCAAAGUGUGAGAUCUUCGGGCCACAUGCUGUCGGAUGCGCCUACGUGGGAUUAGCUAGUUGGUGAGGUAAUGGCUCACCAAGGCGACGAUCCCUAGCUGGUUUGAGAGGAUGAUCAGCCACACUGGAACUGAGACUCGGUCCAGACUCCUACGGGAGGCAGCAGUGGGGAAUAUUGGACAAUGGGCGAAAGCCUGAUCCAGCCAUGCCGCGUGUGUGAAGAAGGCCUUCGGGUUGUAAAGCACUUUCAGUAGGGAGGAAGAGUUGAGUGUUAAUAGUACUCAGCUUUGACGUUACCUACAGAAGAAGCACCGGCUAACUCUGUGCCAGCCGCCGCCGUAACAC